GUCUUUGUCUGGAGUCUCUGACAUCUUCCCAUCUUCAGAGUGGGUGCAGAAGUUGCGCACUCUGGCAAGCGCAGAGGCCGGCACUCCAUAAAAGAGAAGUGCCCUGUGUAUGUGAGCCGUCAGCGACCCGCAAGAAAGCUUUUCUUAGUUUUCAUUCUUAGUUAACGUUGAAAUUUAGUGGCAAACUUUAGAGUCUGCAGUUCCUUUAGGGGCAAAUGUCCUGAAUCGCGCAAUGGAGAGACAGGAUUCGGGGAGGGAGGAAAACGUGGGGGAAAGCGGAGAAGAGGGAGAGGGGAAAGAGGAGAGCCAACGCAGGAAGCAACAGACCCAAACUACAGACCGUUAUUGAGGGAGGGAACAAAGGAGGCAUGAACCUCUCCCCAACCCUGUAGCAGUAUGAACCUCCAUCUAGAGGCUGCAAUGGAGUCCUGAUUUAUGCUAGGCCCAGUUCCCCAAGUCUUUGUGGGGAAAGCAGCCAGGCAGACAACACACCAAGGGUCCCAGGGAUGUUUUUUUGAUGAAAGGGUUCAACAGAGAAAGGAAUUGGGAAAAGCUGAGAAAGGCCAGGCACAACUCAGCAUGUCCUGACUUCGAGGAGCCGGAAUUAGCCAUAGUGACUGUGGCUGGGACCCCCUGUGCUCCCUCAGCACAAAGAUACCUGCUCUGAGUGUUCUGGUGAUGAGACUUGGCCCCUAAGGAACCCAUGGACCUAAGCCACAGUGUGCACUUUGGGUAACUCCGGGAGGUUUUCUGUAAGACUGCAGCUGUGUGCCAGGAAGACCACACCCACACGUCACAUCUCUUCAGGGACAUCGAGCGGGAAGUUGUGUCCUUUCUUUACCCCAUUGCAUCGCACAUUUCCUAUAAUAUCCCUGGUACGUGGACCUUGCUCAUUAUUCUGCAUGGCACAGGACAUGGCUUAUUCCCCGUUAGCAUUUCAUAAUAUUUGCUAUUAGAAAGCAAGUCCUAUGACAGGAAGAGAUGUUAUAAAUUGGAUGUUUAAUUAACAGGAAUAAAACUGUGGUCAAUCA
rnacentral:lncRNA from 1 species